CCGGCCCUCCGCGACGGCUAGCCGUGAACCCCGCCAGGCCCGGAAGGGAGCAACGGUAGCGGUGACGCCGGGUGCCGGAGUCCGCUGGU
rnacentral:SRP_RNA from 1 species